AUCUAACACAGAAGUCUCAUGGGUCAUGGAUUCAAUAAGUAGAUACCGUUUAUAUUUGUCUUAUGAAUUUAUCUAAAGGCCUAAAUCAUUAUUUUAAAAAAACGACGAAGGUUUUCCUACUUGAUAUAUUAGAAAAAAAAAUAGAAAAAAAAUAAAAUUAAGUUGAUAAAUUAACCAAAAUAACACCUUUUUCUAAAAGUUUAAUGUAGAUUUCUUCUUAUUUCAUAAUUGAGGAUAACACGAAACAACUUAUGCGGUUAUAAUAUUAGUACACUUUACAUGUUAUUAUCAUAAAAAAUAAACGUAUAUAUUUAUAUAAUAAAUAUAUUUCGUAUAAUUUAUAAAGUUUGAUUCUGUGAAAAUGUUUAUCUAGUUUACAAGUAGGAUUAUACUUGACAUAUCUGAAAAAAACAUACGUAAAGAAAUAACCAGGUAUAAUUGGUGUUAUGCAUGCUACUGUUGAUAUUCUGAAAGCAUUUACUCAAGUUAAAUCUGGUGUAAUGUUUUGCAUAUACAUGACGUUUUGUGCAGAUAAUUUGUUCGAGUAAUUUGUUCAUGAAGCUACGAAUGAACCAAAUUUGACACAGGAUGACGCUUUGCCAGUCAAUCAACUGAAUGUUAACUGAAUGGUCUGGAAAGGUGACUGAAUGGCACAGCUAUGUCAUUCAGGCAUCUUUCAAUUACCUUUCACUCACUUUUUAGUUGAAUGAAUGGCAUAGAUUCAUCAUGUGUGAUUAAUAUUGUUCAAUAUGAUGUUAGUUGUGAAUUUGAAUAUAUUUUUAUAUAUCUGACAAAAGACAGAUUCUGUCAUUUUUUUGCUAUCACGGAAGAGUUACGUUUCAUAUGAAAGUGAAAAAAAAGAAAGUUUGAAAAAUAAAGAUUAUGAAUUU
rnacentral:misc_RNA from 1 species